CAUUCCUUGAGCCCAAUACCCUUAAACCCUAAUAAUAACCUAGACUUAACCUAUUAACAUACACAAUAGCCUUCAGCCGUUGGACCCUUCUUCGGAAUAAAAAGAACACCAAGAAAAAGAAGCCUACGACACUCCUGAUUUUGGAUGUCUUUUGUCUCAAUUGGAAGAAGACUACAACACAACCCUCUCACCCUUUGGAAUUCAGCUGCCCAACGACCAAAAAAAAAAGGAAACCCAAUUAAAGCUCCUCUCACUCUCUGCAACAAAGAUAGAAAUCCAAAAAGGAAUCCUAAAAUGGAAAAGUUGAACACAACAGCUUCCUCUUUUGGGUAAUGGGAAUUUGUAUAUUUGGAUUCUAUGAGCAAAGAAAGGCCACCAGCCCUCUUGAUUUCUCCAUUCGGAUUGUUUAGUUCAACUCAAUAUACAAUGCUGAAAUUUCAAAAGCCCUUCAAAGGAAAUACGUAAAUAGUGUAAAAGGAGAAUACAGUCCAAAAAAAAGCUAGAAAAUCAGUGCCAUUUAUCUCUUCGGUUUAGCUGAAAUUUCGAAUUUGAUUGAAUUCUUGUUUGGUUUCAAAUUUUUCGAUGCCGAUUUGAGAUUCCGUCUGGGUUCGUGUCUGAGAUUUCUGUCGAUUUGAGUUCCAAUUGUGUUCUGUUCCUGUCUGUAUAAUUGUUAGACGUCUUCAUCAAGUGGAAAUCCCAGUUUCAGGUGUGGAUCCACUCACCAAUGUUAGAGUAUAAAUGGUGGUCAAAGUCCCUAGAAGGCUAGUAAAAUGGUGGAACAUGUUCACAUUACUUGAGCAACAUGAUUUGAUGGGUAAAUUAGGGACUCUUAUUUCUUUGAUGGACAUCACUCCCCGUCCCGACCUUGUAGAAGCAAUGUUGAUAUUUUGGGACCCACAGGGAAUGGUAUUCAAGUUUGGGGAUCUUGAGAUGACACCCACCUUAGCUGAGAUAUUUGGGUUAACCCGCCAGCCAUACCCAGACAAGGAUUUAAUUUACACAAGGGCUCAUUCAAGCACCAAGUUCCUUAAGAUCAUAGGGAUGGAUUUGGAAACUCACAUGGGAUGUCUAGAUCAAUCUUGGGUACCUUUGGAAUUUUUAUUCGAGAGGUUUGCUCGUCCUACGGGAUAUGAGACCUUCGUAGAUGAAUUUUCCGUAUCAUAUGAUUCUUGGAAGAAGAGGCGUCCUAUGGUCUUCGCUAUUGCAUUGUUGGGUCUCCUGGUAUUUCCUUUGGAGGGUAGACAUAUUAGAACGCGUCUGGGGUCCAUACCUUUGCACUCUUUCAUGAUAAACACAGCAGUAAGGUCACCGUGGUUCCGACAAUUUUGGCAGAGAUCUAUUAUGCUUUGAUAAGGAUUCGAGAAGGUGGGAGGUUCUUUGAGGGAAGCAACUUGUUGCUACGACUGUGGAGGAUGGAACACUUACAUCCUGCCACCAUGUUUGAUAAAGAUGUGAUUGACCUUUGUCUGAGAGAUUGAGUGAAGUGCAUCGAGCAUAGGAUGGCGUUCGAUAAGUUUGCCUUACCACUCGGAGUUCAGGAUUGGGUUGAUUAUUUAGGAUCCUUGACUGAAGAGAAGAUUUUGUGGUCAUACCUAUGGAUUGAUUUGGACGUGAUCUUAGCAGGGUCUCGCGUGCAAGACUUCUUGGUACUGAUCGGACUUUGGUGUACUAGACCAUAUACCCCUGCUAAAGUGAUGCGUCAGUUAGGGAGGCGGCAAGAAGUCCCCUACAUUCCUGAUUCUCGUGACUUCAUUAGGGAAUUUGACACUAUGCCGCAUAGGGAGGUCGACAUCCAGACCUAUUGGCGUCAUGCAAUGAAGAUGGGUAGGGAUACUUUAGCUGCUGACCCACAUUCACCUGGGUAUACCCAUGAGUACUUCAUAUGGCUACAGUCUACUCAGCGGGGGGUUAGCAGGCCAUUGCCCCGACGAGUUAGAGGAGUAUUUGACGAGGAGGCAACCUCACGGAUAUUGCUUAGACAGUUGAUGGAUCGAUUUACCUAGGCAGAGGAGGCCUAUGCAGCAGAAAGGGAUGGGGUUCGAGCUACACUUCAGUUACUGAGAUCACAGUUGGUAGGGUUGGUAGAGAACAUGGGACAACACCGUGAGUACCUUACUAGAGUCAGCCUUCCAGAUGCAGGCGCGCAUUCCAGGAUUCUCAUUCCCAGCUUCAAGGUGUCCUUGCAAGGUGUAAUACAGAGCUUAGAUUCGACAGGAUUGACGGGGCCAUCCGGAUCUUCAUCGGACCGGUCCCAGCCAGGAUCGUCGCAUUCAGGAGAAGUUUGAGGAGUCAUUCUAUUUAGACGUUUUGAGAUUGUCUUAUGUUGUCCUUUACUUUCUUGUCUUGUCUAGGAGUACCGAGUCCUUUAAGUAGUGUCAGAGUCUAUCAUAGUGUAGUCGAGUCUGUCAUGUUUUUCG